rnacentral:lncRNA from 1 species
UAAAAGCAAAAGGAAAUCUAACAAGAGAUGCCACUAAUCAUUUAAAUUCUAUUCGAGCUUGGAAUGAGAGGGAGAGCAAAACCCUUUUUAGUCCCACUAACUUAUCUGAAUUGUUCUACCUAAACUCCCUUUACCAGAAUCUUAAGACUACACAUAGAAUCAAUGAAUAUGUUUUUCUUCUUCUGCUUCUUCAUGAUUAACCACUUUUUUCUCCUUCUUUUCUCGUAUUUUCCUUCACGUUAACUAUAAGCUAAGAAUUGUAGACCCAUGUCUCAAACUUUCAUUUAACCUCAAAGUAAAUUAAAGUUGAAUCUAAAACAAGAAGCUUCCAUCUUCCAUGCCUUGAUUUGAAGGCAUUUCAUUACGUUUUUCGUGUCUGUGGUGCUUGCUUUGGCCACCCAACUCACUUAGCUUGCUGCUUUGACUAACCCAAAGACCUAGUAAUGGCUUCGUCUCUGAUCUGCUGGCUGGGGACUCAAACAUAAUUGCAUGCAGACUACUCUUAAUUUCAAGUUCUAUAUUGUCAAAAUGGGAUUGCGGGUUCACAUGCCUUGCUCACCUACACCCGCCUGGGUUUUUUUGAUCAUUCAAAGUCUUAGCUUUGUAGUAAAUACUACCACCUAAUAUGUCCCUGUGUUGCUCGAGCUUUUAUUUCGUUCCCAGCUUCCCACCACCAGAAGAACCUUCUUUCGUUUCACUUUUCUUUUAUUAAUUAUCACGUAAAUGGUGUCCGAAAUAUAUAUGAAAUCAUCAUAUCCAUGCCAUCAAAUCAGAAAAAGAAAAAAGAUGAUCUACAAGAAGCUUCUAUAUCACGUAACAAAGUCUUUGUCUGCUGCCCUAGCUAGCAAAGAACAUAAGGCUUCUUUGGUCGAUUGAUUUCUUACCUAAUGGCUCGUUAGAAAUGGAAAUGUUGUCCAAAUGUAAAACUUGCAUUGUCGUACAUACAUACAAACCCAGGCAGAACAGUAAAUUUGGUGCUGUAAUAUACCAACAGAGAGCUGUUGGAUCAUUAUAGAGAUAAUGGACCAGACACUGGAAGCCUGGAAUGAACAAGUCGCUCUCUCAUUAUAACAGAUGAUCAGAUAUCAUAGCCUCAGUACUGCACGACUUGUCAAUUUUGUGCGUCGCAUAUCUUUAAGAAUAGGUAAGCUAGCUAUAGUACAUUAGCACUGUUCUACAACUCCCUCUUGCCGGUGGGAUUUAACAGAAAGUUCGUAUUAUUUAUGUUUUAUUGAAUACUCACAAAAUUAUGAUUUAUGAAUAUUGUUAGUAAAGUUGGUCGAGAUACUUAGUAUGAAACCCUUAUGUUAAGAGUUCGAGUCCUAACUCCUACCAAUUUGUGGUCAGCAUGUUUGAGGAGCUUUCAGGUUUGCGUGCGGCAACAUAUUGGUCUAACUUUGCAAUGAUACUCUCGUGGACCUCGGUUCGAAUAUUGAUUGGGUGUGUGUUUUACUAAUUUACUAACGUAACCGAGAUGUCUUGCUAUAUCUCACUCUUGGUCCAAUAAAAAAAACGUAUUUCUUAUGUUUUAUAAAUAAAUUAAAAUUAAACCACCAAGUCCAAUAUAGCGUUUUUUAAUCACUUGAUGUGGUAAGGUCAUUGGUCUAGUUGCCCUAAUUCAACCAUUUCGAUUACAAUUACCUAUUAACGUAGCUACAGAAGGGCAUAGAAACACAUAAAUAGAAUUAAUAUUAUACAAUAUUAUUCAUUGUUAAUUCAUGUAGUUAUGACUUAUGACUAUCUUGUAUUCUUGUAAAAUCACAAUAAAACACGACGAAUCAAUAUGAUGAUGAUCAUGAUCAUUGCCGAAAGGGCUGUGGACUCAAAUCAUCUAAGCAAAGAAGCUAGAGUGAUAAAUGGUAUAGCACCAAACCCACCUUUGAGAAAACCCUAAAGACACUGCAACUUUUUCGAGCAUGUCACAUUUCGCCUCCUCAGUGCAGUAUAUGUGCAUGCUUGGACUGAGUCGCAGACUCGCAGUCGUGUGGCAGCUAAUAAUCCACAAUACUAGUAGAUAUAUGCUUUACUUAAGUUUAAAGAAGGGCAUCACCUACCCAUUGAGAACAAAAGGAAGGCUUUUUUUAAUGCAUGAUGGUCGAUCUGUCUGUAAAUCAACAGGGUUUUCUGCAUUUGUAAAUGAUCACGAUCGAUCACUAUAUAAUGCAUCAUAUAUCAAGAUUCUGGCAAGUAACUUUCAAAAAAGUUUGAAGUUGAACAAGUAAUUAGGAGAUUUUGAUUUGACAAUGACUACAGGUUGAAAUGAAACCCUAUAAUUUGAGCGGUUAGUGAAUGAUUCAACAAUUAAUAUGUAAAAUUAACAUUAUCCCUGUGACGAAACAAAAUGACUUUGGACGUUUGAAUCAAAAUUUUUGUUACAAUCAAAGUUUCUAGUCAUCCCAUGCAAUGACUAAUUAGAUUGAGAAACAUCUGAUCGAGUCACUCCUAUAUACAUAUAUAUGCCUCUCAGAUCUUGUCAUUACUGACCUUGAUGUAUCAGUAGUGAAAACGAACUAGUAUCAGGGAGUCAAUUUCUUCAUAAUUUUCAUUUUUC